CAUGUCGAAGCUGAGUACAGCAUUUAACUGUUAAUUAAAAGGGGGCCUAACAAGGCCGACGUGA
rnacentral:tRNA from 1 species